AUGGCGGCAGUGAGUGCGGAAGGCCAGAUCUGUGCGGCUGAUGGCGUGGUCGAUACUGAAAUCGAUGGUUUACUGCAAGCAUCUGAGCAGUCGAUUACUCGAUUUGUUAGAUCGACCCAAAAGCCCCAGCAUGGACUCGAAGUGGGGAUCGGUGCUGCCGCACCAGGAAGGUCACCUUGUCCUAAUCGCACUAGUGCACUGGAGAAGGCAAUUCAUGGUUUUGCGGAAAAUCCAGGAGAUGAUGUGAUUGUCCCUGCACUAGGAACAAGCUUUGAUUGUUUGAGUGAAGCCUUCGACUAUUGCCAUGGGACUUCGAUUCUUUUGGGUGAAGCAUAUGACUUUUACAAGCUUCGGUUCUUUGACAAAUCUAUAUUUUAG
rnacentral:rRNA from 1 species